CGUGUGAUGAUGAGCCUUAACAUGUAAGAAGAGUGCCAAGUUGUGGCUUCUUCAAUGAAAUAUCCUUGUUACGCUUGGCUUCUGAGCUGU